rnacentral:rRNA from 1 species
GACGAACGCUGGCGGCGUGCUUAACACAUGCGAGUCGAACGGAAAGGCCCUGCUUUUGUGGGGUGCUCGAGUGGCGAACGGGUGAGUAACACGUGAGUAACCUGCCCUUGACUUUGGGAUAACUUCAGGAAACUGGGGCUAAUACCGGAUAGGAGCUCCUGCUGCAUGGUGGGGGUUGGAAAGUUUCGGCGGUUGGGGAUGGACUCGCGGCUUAUCAGCUUGUUGGUGGGGUAGUGGCUUACCAAGGCUUUGACGGGUAGCCGGCCUGAGAGGGUGACCGGCCACAUUGGGACUGAGAUACGGCCCAGACUCAUACGGGAGGCAGCAGUGGGGAAUAUUGCACAAUGGGCGGAAGCCUGAUGCAGCAACGCCGCGUGCGGGAUGACGGCCUUCGGGUCGUAAACCGCUUUCGCCUGUGACGAAGCGUGAGUGACGGUAAUGGGUAAAGAAGCACCGGCUAACUACGU